rnacentral:ncRNA from 2 species
AAAAUCUUGUCGGGGAGCAUCUGUCAUUUUAUCGCUUGAUGAUUUGCGAAUGCUGAGACCAUAUAAAUUCUUGGGAUAUAUCCAAUUAUUUGUUGUUCUACAUUUUGUAGGCAGAUAGGGACCCGUUGAACCUGAUUGGUUAGAACCAGCGUAGGGAACAAGAAUUCAUCAAGA